UUUAAAUUAAGAUUUUUUCGAGUCGCUUAUCCAAAAUAAGCUUCAACCAUCCAAAAUACCCCAAACUUUACUUUUUUACCUUCUAAACAAAUGCUAAAAAAAAAAAAACCUUUUAAUAAACAAAUUAAAUUUGAAUCAUUGUAGUCGUUAAACACAAUUAAUGGCCACUUUAUGGCGGCAUUAAUGAAAAAUGACAUAAUUAGUACCCACCCCCCAAUUUGCUUUUUUCACACUUCACACCCACACAAAUUUC
rnacentral:lncRNA from 1 species